AAAGAUUAAGCCAUGCAUGUCUAAGUACAUGUGUAUUUAACACGAAACCGCGUAUGGCUCAUUAUAACAGCUAAAAUUUACUUGAUUUUGACUUUUAUCCUACAUGGAUAACUGUGGUAAUUCUGGAGCUAAUACAUGCAUAAAAGAUGUUUCUUUAUUGAAACAUUGCGUAUAUUAGUAUUAAAACCAAGCAUUCUUCGGAAUGUUUUGUGUUGAAACUGAAUAUAUCUGCUGAUCGUAUGGUCUUGUACCGACGACAUGUCAUUCAAGUGUCUGAUCUAUCAACUUUCUAUAUAAGUAUAUAGUACUUAUAUGGUUUUGACGGAUAACGGGGUAUUAGGGUACGACUCCGGAGAAAAUGCCUGAGAAACGGCGUUUACAUCCAAGGAAGGCAGCAGGCGCGAAAAUUACCCACUCUCAGUACGAGGAGGUAGUGACGAGAAAUGACAAGAUCUAUUCCUUCGGGGAUGGAUCAUUGGAAUGGUUUGAUUUUAAAAUCAUUAAAGAGUAUCAAUGAGAGGGCAAGUCUGGUGCCAGCAGCCGCGGUAAUUCCAGCUCUCAAAGUGUAUGUCAUUAUUGCUGCGGUUAAAAAGCUCGUAGUUGGAUCUGAGCCUUUGGCGACAGUUCGUUUUCAUGCGAUACUGUGGCCGGGGUUAAUUUUGUCGGUUCGCCGGCAAGAGUUACUCUAAAUAAAUCAGAGUGCUCAAAACAAGCGUUUCGCUUGAAUGUUUUUGCAUGGAAUAAUGGAAAAGGACUUCGGUUCCUUACUGUUGGUUUCGGAAUUGGAUUAAUGAUUAAGAGGGACCAACGGGGGCAUGCGUACCGCUACGCGAGAGGUGAAAUUCAUGGACCGUAGCGUGACGACCUAAAGCGAAAGCAUUUGCCAAGAAUG
rnacentral:rRNA from 1 species